CGGAUCCCUGCAGCCCUCUGGCAAAACAGCCUCCCCAGCACCCACUGAGGGCUCUGGAAAAAGGGACAAGCCAGCCCAGCCCAGGGCCUGGCCAGCUCCAGGGCAGUGGGUCAGCAGGGCUUGUUUUGCAGGGGAACUCAUCAGCGUCAAGCUGCCACCUAGUAAAGAUGUUUUUGUUUUUUAAUCUGCUUUAGAAAAAGAAAAUCCCUAGGAAACUGCAGCCAGAAAUUACAUCAGCAAUGUGCUCUGUCAGUUGCAGGGUCUCCAGGGUGGGAUGAGUCCAAACUUCAGCUGCUCAGGGGGGCUCAGACAGCAGGUGUUGGGAAGCACCAGGGGCACCGAGGCACGCACCAUGAUGGGCCCACACCACAUUUCCAUCACGAGAGCAAGAAUUAGUUUGGAUUCUGUGUGUCCCAGCUGUCAGCAGCCUUUGGACCUUGCCCAGGAAGGGGUGUUCCAUGCAUUGCCCAGCACUGGCUGUAGGACAGAGCGUUUGCUGUCAUGCAGAGGCUCUGUGGCUCUGCAGCAGGGCCAGGAGAUGCUGCAGCUGUGCCCUGCCUGGGCAUCCCCGCUGGAGCCAUCAUUUUAUCUCCUAUUUCUAGGCAAAGUUAAAAUUUAGCCACGUGAAAUGAGAAACCAAAAUACAAAGGUUUUCAAAAGUGA